ACCGCAAACGUCGCAGACAAGAGGGGACUUCGGGCCUCUUGCCAUCGGAUGUGCCCAGAUGGGAUUAGCUAGUACGGUGGGGUAACGGCUACCUAGGCGACGAUCCCUAGCUGGUCUGAGAGGAUGACCAGCCACACUGGAACUGAGACACGGUCCAGCUCCUACGGGAGGCAGCAGUGGGGAAUAUUGCACAAUGGGCGCAAGCCUGAUGCAGCCAUGCCGCGUUAUGAAGAAGGCCUUCGGGUUGUAAGUACUUUCAGCGGGGAGGAAGGGAGUAAAGUUAAUACCUUUGUCAUUGACGUUACCCGCAGAAGAACACCAAGGCUAACUCCGUGCCAUGCAGCCGCGGUAAUACGAGGGUCAAGCGUUAAUCAGCAUAGCAGAUCGGAAUUACUGGGCGUAAAGCGCACGCAGGCGGUUUGUUAAGUCGAUGUGAAAUCCCCGGGCUCAACCUGGAACUGCAUCUGAUACUGGCAAGCUUGAGUCUCGUAGAGGGGGUAGAAUUCCAGGUGUAGCGGUGAAAUCGUAGAGAUCUGGAGGAAUACCGGUGGCGAAGGCGGCCCCUGGACGAAGACUGACGCUCAGGUGCGAAGCGUGGGGAGCAAACAGGAUUAGAUACCCUGGUAGUCACGCCGUAAACGAUGUCGACUUGGAGGUUGUGCCUUGGGGCGUGGCUUUCCGGAGCUAACGCGUUAAUC
rnacentral:rRNA from 1 species